AAACCAUGAUUUGGACUCUUCUGCAAAUACUCCUUGAAUCUCUCCCAGGCUUCAUAUAGCUGUUCCCCCGGCCGCUGCUUAAAUUCAUAGAUCUUGUCCCAUUUUUCAGCCU